rnacentral:rRNA from 1 species
AGAGUUUGAUCCUGGCUCAGAAUCAACGCUGGCGGCGUGCCUAACACAUGCAAGUCGAACGAGAAAGUGGAGCAAUCCAUGAGUAAAGUGGCGCACGGGUGAGUAACACGUGACUAACCUACCCUUGAGUGGGGGAUAACCUAGGGAAACCUGGGCUAAUACCGCAUAAUACCUUCGGGUCAAAGGAGCAACUCGCUUAAGGAGGGGGUCGCGGCCGAUUAGUUAGUUGGCGGGGUAAUGGCCCACCAAGACUGUGAUCGGUAUCCGGCCUGAGAGGGCGCACGGACACACUGGAACUGAAACACGGUCCAGACUCCUACGGGAGGCAGCAGUGGGGAAUUUUGCGCAAUGGGGGAAACCCUGACGCAGCAACGCCGCGUGGAGGAUGAAGCCCCUUGGGGCGUAAACUCCUUCGAUCGG